UGGGGAAUAUUGGACAAUGGGCGAAAGCCUGAUCCAGCCACGCCGCGUGAGUGAUGAAGGCCUUCGGGUUGUAAAGCUCUGUGGGGAGGGACGAAAAAGGUAGGCAAGAAACGGUCUGCCCUUGACGGUACCUCCUUAGCAAGCACCGGCUAACUCUGUGCCAGCAGCCGCGGUAAGACAGAGGGUGCGAACGUUGCUCGGAAUCACUGGGCGUAAAGCGCGUGUAGGCGGACCUGUAAGUCAGGUGUGAAAUCCCUGGGCUCAACCUAGGAACUGCAUCUGAAACUACAGGUCUUGAGUGUCGGAGAGGGAAGCGGAAUUCUGGGUGUAGAGGUGAAAUUCGUAGAUAUCUGGAGGAACACCGGUGGCGAAGGCGGCUUCCUGGACGACUACUGACGCUGAGACGCGAAAGCGUGGGGAGCAAACAGGAUUAGAUACCCGCGUAGUCC
rnacentral:rRNA from 1 species